GGAAUCUUGGUGUAGGUGGUUAUUGCACGAUGGUCUGAAAAACCAUAGGCUCAAGUUCAAUUCUUGAAGAUUCCA
rnacentral:tRNA from 1 species